CUUCGCCUUCACACUAAUAAUAAUAAUAAAGUAGAAUAACAAUAUGUGAAGGCCUUCGCCUUCACACUAAUAAAGUAGAAUAACAAUGUGUGAAAGCCUUCGCCUUCACAC